rnacentral:lncRNA from 1 species
GAUCAGCCGACAGCAUCAGGCUUGCUGCUGUCUAUAUAUGACGACAAUCACAGCCAGUCACCAAAUGACCGACCUGACACAACAGUAGGCGAUAGCGGGACAACGAGCCCAGCUGAAGAGGUGCUGGUUGCUGCACCAACACAGGAUGCAUCGCAAUGUCCACAGAAUGCGCAAGAUGACAGCGAUGCAGACCGUGACGCUCAAACGCCCAUUCAUGUGCCGGAAAAGCGGCGAGGUAGUACACAGUCUGCUGUUCCAACAGGAAUACGAGGAAUCCAGGCCUACGAUUUAAGCUCCUGCGAAAGAAAAGAGAGCAAGACUUCGUUCUUCGUCAAAUAGAAACUGAGCUGCAGCUCAGACGGCUCGACCAUGAAGAAAGGCGAAUGGCACUCGAAGAGCGCAAAGUGUCGCUAGAUGAAGAGCGACUGAGAAUGGAGGCUGAGGGACAAAUGCCACCAUUGAAACCUUGAAUCGAAUGAACAACAGGCUCAAAGAAUUAGAAAAGAAAAUUUCGUGGCUGCACAAAUACAAGCACUGUGUUGGAAGGAGUGGUUCAGUUCUUUGCUUUCAAAUGUUCCUCCAGCUCUGAAGGUUCAACUCCAAAGUAUUGAGAGACCUGCGAGCCAUACAUAUAGGUGUGGCAGUUAGCAAGUAUUGCGCCAGCUUUUUACAUUCGUGACACAUUCUCCAAUUUCAGUUUCUGAUUUUUACGAAAAUCCAGGAAAGCAAACAAGCCUGCAAAUGUUCCGAAAUCCCAUUCAACUGAUUGCAUGACAGAGCUCAUUCUCUUGUUGAAAGCCCGCUGCUGCAAGGUCACGUUCCCACCAUAAGGUUUCAGCAGUAGAGGUCUCAGGGGAUAGGUAGGGUCACCAUACAAACAAAAGCUGUGCCCUUUGACAAGCUUCUCAAGCUUGCGAUAGGUGUUGCUCUUUCGGAGAAUACCUGGAAAUACAGGAUCACAUAGAAACAUUUUGCCACAUGAUAUAUAUCACUGUUUGUUUACUGAAAUUCCUUCCACUUCCCAAUAAAUACACGCACACCUGACACAACUGCCCAGUGUGCACUUUUUGGAUUAACUUUCUUUUCAUGUGAGAAAAAAAA